CUUUACACAUGCAAGUCGAACGGUAACGAGGAGGAAAGCUUGCUUUCCUCCGUCGACGAGUGGCGAACGGGUGAGUAAGACAUCGGAACGUAUCCGCUCGUGGGGGACAACUUCCCGAAAGGGGAGCUAAUACCGCACGAGAUCCGAGGAUGAAAGAGGGGGACCCGCGAGGGCCUCUCGCGAGCGGAGCGGCCGAUGACUGAUUAGCCAGUUGGUAAGGUAAAGGCUUACCAAGGCGACGAUCAGUAGCUGGUCUGAGAGGACGACCAGCCACACUGGGACUGAGACACGGCCCAGACUCCUACGGGAGGCAGCAGUGGGGAAUUUUGGACAAUGGGCGCAAGCCUGAUCCAGCUAUUCCGCGUGUGGGAAGACGGCCUUCGGGUUGUAAACCACUUUUGUAGAGAACGAAAAGUCUAUUGAUAAUACCGAUAGAUGAUGACGGUACUCUAAGAAUAAGCACCGGCUAACUACGUGCCAGCAGCCGCGGUAAUACGUAGGGUGCGAGCGUUAAUCGGAAUUACUGGGCGUAAAGGGUGUGCAGGCGGUUUUGCAAGAUGGAUGUGAAAGCCCCGGGCUUAACCUGGGAAAGCCAUACAUGACUGCAAGACUAGAGUGCGUCAGAGGGGGGUGGAAUUCCAAGUGUAGCAGUGAAAUGCGUAGAUAUUUGGAAGAACACCGAUGGCGAAGGCAGCCCCCUGGGACGCAACUGACGCUCA
rnacentral:rRNA from 1 species